AGGAACCCCCCGCGCGGGCGGCGUUUUGUACAUUUAACACCCGACAAAGCUGUCGUUAUGUGGGCCCAAAAGGUGGGGCCCGAGUCAGGUGAUCAGCUGGAGCGCAACGCGUCGACGCGGACGGACAAUGGCGCUCACGCGCGGGGGACGGGGCGCGUUACCGGAGCCAAAAGAGGCUUUUUAAAUAGUUUUUAUUCAACGUGUUCAGUGAGAAACGCAUCGGUGAAGGAGGGGAGGGGCGGGGCUGACGGGAGGUGCUGAGGCUGAGCGGAGCAUCGUUUGGUGGAGGAGGUGGCGUGUGUGUGUGUGUGUGUGUGUGCGUGUGUGUGUGUGUGUGUGCGUGUGUAUGUGUGUGUGUGUGUGUGUGUGUGUGUGUGUGUGUGGAGAAAACGUUGGUUCGGCUCCCCAACCGGAAGCCAGUUGGCUCCACGACCCGCGCCGCUGGAAACAAGACCCCCGUGAACAUGUGCGCGAAUGUGUUCGGAGUUUUGAAAAGCCUGUUUGGGAAGCCCUUUGAUGGUGGGAAGAGGAUGGACCAUGGCGUCCCACAGCAGCAGCAGCAUCACCACCCAACGGAGCAGCAGCAGCAGCCGUACCACCCGCAGCACCCCGCCAUGAUGCGGCUGUACGAGGUCCACAAGGAGGUGACGUCUCUGGGGCCCCAGGUGUGCAACUUCAGCGGCCUGCAGGACGACCGCGACUACAAGCGCCUGGAGCGCGAGCUGACACGGCUGCUGCUGGACGUGGACCAGGUGGACACGGAGGGCAAGCCGGAGCUGCAGGGGGCGCGCAAGAGAGCGGCGCAGGAGGUGGAGGGCCUCCUGCGCUACCUGGAGGAGAACGCCACCCACCCGUCCCGCGGCGCCAUCGAGGAGCUGAGCGACGAGGCGCGGCAGCUGGUGGACGACCGCGUGGUGGCGCCCCAGCGGUCCGGCGGCACGGCCGAGAUAAACGACGAGCUGGUGGAGGCCCUGCAGGUGAUCGUGCUGAAGCUCACCCAGGUCAAGACCGAGGGGCGGGUGCCGCUCCGCAAGGCGCGCUACCGGGCGCUCACGCGGCUGUGCGCCGUGCAGGCCGUGGUCGAGGGCCGCACGCCGCAGCAGACUCUCUCCCUGCCGCUGCCGGGCGACACCCACGAGGCCGUGCACCGCAUCAACCAGGUGAUGGUUAAGGUGAGCGUGGCGCGCGGCCACCUGGUGGCGCUGCUGAUGGGUCUGAGCGGCAGGGACAGCUGCGCCCACCUGUCGCGCCUCCUGACGGAGAUGCAGGCGGAGCUGGACGCCCUGGACGUUUCCGGCAACGCGGCGAUCAGAAACUACAGGAAGCAGGUCGUGGAGGAGAUCAACGGGCUGCUGAAACAUCUGGACCUGGAGGGGGAGGGCGAGGACACGCGCAGGUACGACCUGGCCCAGAACAACUCCAUCCGAGAGAUCGAGGCGGUGCGAGCUCACGUGUCCCACCUGCGAGAGGGCGUCCUGCGGCACUGCGUGACGGGCGACCUGAGCUUCAGGCCCAAAGCCGAGCUGCAGAGCCUCCUGACUCACCUGGACCAGGUGGACACGGCCAAGAACCCGUGCAUCCGAGAGGCCCGGCGCCGCGCCGUGGUGGAGGUCCAGGCCAUCAUCACCUUCCUGGACCUCCGCGAGGCCCUGACGCGCCGCCAGCCGGGCCCCGCCGAGCUCCCGGCGCACCGGGCCGUGUGGCUGGUCCUCGGGAGCCUCUCGGACCUCCAGGCCCAGGCGCUGGCCUUCGACGGCAAGCGGGUCGACAAGAGCUACAUCCUGCUGGAGGAGCUGCUCACCAAACAGCUGCUGACGCUGGACGCCGUGGACCCGCAGGGCGACGACACCACCAAGAUGGCGCGGAAGCAGGCGGUGAAGUUCGCCCAGAACAUUCUCAACUACCUGGACAUGAAGACGGACGAGUGGGAGUACUGAAGCUCUCCAGGAGGACCGGCGCCGCGGAGGCCGUGUGUAAAUAAUCAAAAACCCAAACUGCUGGUGCAACAUGGCGCUCCAUCCAGCCGCCGGUCCCACGACGCAGGAAGAAGGUUGAAAAAGAUGAUUUAAGAAAGUAGAAAGCACCAGAAAGGAGACGCUCUUCCUUCCUGAGCUUUAGCAAAAAGUAGUUUUCUUUAAAGCGCACUCUUUUUUUUGUUACUGUUCCUGAGUCACUGUUGUCGAUUGCUGCUUUGCCUUCCUUUCAAAUGACAGAAAAGUGUUCUGCGGUGGGCAAAUAAAAAGGUCAUUGCAUCCGUUUAGUUUUUCUGAAGUCGCCUUUACCUGCAUUGAUUGUGAGGCUUCUGCUGUUUCUUCAGACGCGCUUGUACACAAAAAAUAAUAAAAAGCACACAAGACUGAAAACAAACAAAAACAAGGUUGUGUGAAUGCUCCAUGGAUGGUUGUGUUUUGAAUUUGUAUUCCCACUGCAAAAUAAAGACGGCGUGUCUUGAUCAGUG